GUACAGUUCAGUUGUUACGCCCAGGGAUCAAUAAAGUAUUCUGAUUCUGAUUCUGAUUAGAAGAAAAUCACCCGAGUUGUUACCAUAAAGAAACAAGAGGGGUGAGGCAAAAGACACAGAAGUUACAUGCAGUACAUUAGCCAAUCACUACUGAAAUCUUUAAAUAUUAGAACUUUUGGCCUUUCUAUCAUUUUUAUAUCUACCUUUUACUGGUGUUUUUGCAGGAUAUAUGCUGCAAUGUUUUCUUUUACUGUCAGCAGAUCAAUCACCGAGCCAUUCAGUUUUCCUCCAUUUUCGAAAGAUUUGCAUUCUCCAAAGAGCUCACUGAACUGGUCCAGUAAUGGCAUUGUAACAGGACUGUAACUGACUGUUGCAACAAGUCCGUUUGUGAAAUUUCUUCUCGCCUCGAUCUUCCACAAUCAACUCUAAGUUAUGUUAUUGCAACAUGGAAAGAUUUUGGAACCACAGCAUCUCAGCAAUGCAUUGGUAGUACAUGUAAAGUUACAGAGGAAGAUUGCUGAGUGCUGAGGGAUAUAGUGUAUUGUCAAUGUUUUGUUGACUUAAAACUCCAAGCCUGCUCUGACAUCACCAAAAACCUUUUGCCAGGAGCUUCAAGGCAUGGGUUUCUAUUUUUCUGACCAGGGUUCUGAGUUUUCUUGGGUUUAAGUAUAAUUUUUGUUUCUUAUUUCUCAUGGAUCAUGUUUUUUGUGUCUUGUUUGCCUUGUUUAGAGUUUUUGCUUUAAUUUAGUUCAUUAUGUUGUAAGACUAGUUUAUCUUUGAUAAACUAGUCUUGAUUAAUUCCUUUCUUCCUGUUCAUCCAAGCCCUUCCUCUGUUUCCAUGUCUUGCUAAGUCUCUGUCCCAUUUUAUUUACUUCAGGAGGCUCCGGUCCAUUCGCACCAGAACCUCUCGCCAUAAGAACAGUUUCUUCCCCUCUGCUGU